rnacentral:lncRNA from 1 species
GCCUAGCUUAUAUGGUUCUGUGAAUCUGUAUCAUAGACAUACAUCAUGCACCUAAAGGAAGGAGAGAGUCAUUGUUCUUCAAUUUUCUGUUCUUCUUCUUUCUUUUCUCAUUUUUCUGUGGAGCUUUUACUUAUCUCGAACUUCAUUGUUAAUUUAUAUGGUUGUUCAAUUGCUAUUGUUUAUAAAUUGAAAUCAUGUUUCAAUAUGGAUUUUUGGCUAGAAUUUGCCUGCAUAAUUUAUUGCAAUUCCUUGCAUCAAAUGCUUCCUUCUAUUUUUCCAAAUUAGGAAAAUUAUUUGUGGGUUUCCCAUGGUGGUAACCGGUCAAGCUUAUAUUAUAUUGACUACUAAUUUCCAUAAAAUGGUCUUUUUUUUUUGAUUUGUACAUAUGUUGGCCCCAACUCAAGAAAAAGCAGCAGUUAGGGUCGGCAGAGGAAAGGAUGAAUUGAGAGAGCUGGUGUAUGGCUGUUGAUUGGUUUGGUUAUGCUACAUUCCAUGUGGGGGUUGUUCUGUUGCUUAAAAAUAUUUUGUAGUGAUGCUUUAGACACAAUCCCACAAGUAAAAUUUGCUACAAUCCCAUUGGAAACUCAAGUUUUGGGGUUGGUUUGUUUGUUGGUGUUUGAUGGGUUGAUCUUCUCGGCCAGCCAAACAAAAU